GAUGAACGCUGGCGGCGUGCUUAAUACAUGCAAGUCGAACGGAGAACCUUUGUAGCAAUACGAGGGUUUCUUAGUGGCGAACGGGUGCGUAACGCGUUGGUGACCUGCCCCGAAGUGUGGGAUAACAGUUCGAAAGGAUUGCUAAUACCGCAUGUGGUUUUCCGGAUCAGAUGCCGGAUCUCUAAAGCAGUAAUGCGCUUCGGGAGGGACCUGCGUCCCAUCAGCUAGUUGGUGAGGUAACGGCCCACCAAGGCUACGACGGGUAGGGGACCUGAGAGGGUGGUCCCCCACACUGGCACUGAAACACGGGCCAGACACCUACGGGUGGCAGCAGUAGGGAAUAUUGGGCAAUGGGCGAAAGCCUGACCCAGCAACGCCGCGUGCACGAUGAAGGUCUUCGGAUCGUAAAGUGCUUUUCUGAGAGAUGAGACAGGACAGUAUCUCAGGAAUAAGUCUCGGCUAACUACGUGCCAGCAGCCGCGGUAACACGUAGGAGGCAAGCGUUAUCCGGAUUUACUGGGUGUAAAGCGCGUGCAGGCGGUUCGGUAAGUUGGAUGUGAAAGCUCCUGGCUCAACUGGGAGAGGUCGUUCAAAACUACCGGACUUGAGGACAGUAGAGGGAGAUGGAAUUCCCGGUGUAGUGGUGAAAUGCGUAGAUAUCGGGAGGAACACCAGUAGCGAAAGCGGUCUCCUGGACUGUCUCUGACGCUCAGACGCGAAAGCUAGGGUAGCAAACGGGAUUAGAGACCCCGGUAGUCCUAGCUGUAAACGAUGUGAACUUGGCGUUGGUGGUGUAAAAACCAUCAGUGCCGAAGCUAACGCGAUAAGUUCACCACCUGGGGACUACGACCGCAAGGUUAAAACUCAAAUGAAUUGACGG
rnacentral:rRNA from 1 species